rnacentral:lncRNA from 1 species
UGCGUCUCGUAUUUAACAUAAGCCAUCGAUAUUCACCCAACAUAACAAUGAAUUCGAUGACUAAAAUAAAUGUAAAAAUAUUUCUAAAAACUAUAAAAAAAAUGCUAAUUUAAUUGAAAUAAUACAAUAUUUAAAUAAAUGGACUAAAUUUUUAAAAAAAUUGAGAAAUUACCAAAAGCCCCCCUUUUCCUUUUUUCUUUUUGGCCUAAUAGGAGUUGGGCUGCCAAAUUUGGGCCUGGGUGCUGGGCUGCCGCUGGAACGGGCCUGGGCUGGGCUGCCGCUGGAACGGGCCUGGGCUGGCCUGCUGCAGAUUUUUUCUUCUCUUUUUUGAUAAACUUGUUGGGUUUGGGCUACUAAAAUUAUUGGGCUGCUACUUUUGUUCUUUUUUAUUGUUUUUUUUUUCUUUUUCUUUCUUUUUCUCUCUUUUUUCUUUCUCCUUUCUUCUUCUUCUUCCCUUUACUUUUUCUUUCCGUUGAGCCCAGCCUCCGCUUCUCCUCCAUUGUCCACUGCCACCGUCGACUCCUCCGUUCGGUGGUGCUAGUCUCGGCGUUCUCUCCUCUUCUUUUCUCCUCCCUUUUUCUCUUCUUUCUCUUAUCUUCUCCCUUUGGCUUUCUCUCUUUUCUUCUCUUCUCCCCUUUCUUUUUCUUUCUCUUUCGAAAGCCCGGAAAUUAGAAGCGACGCCGCCCCUCCAAUCCGCCGUUCGUUACUCGAUCCUCCUCCGCCUUAAGUGGCCGUGGUAAAGGGUAGGGAUCUCUUGCUAUAUUUGUUUUUUUUUUUGCCCUUUUUUACUCUUUUCUUUGCUUUUGGUUGCUUGUGGAUUGUUGAGUUUGGUUUGUUUCUUUGUGAUGAUGAAUGAGGAAUGUGGAUGGGGACAUGGGGAGAAUCGGCUGAAUCUUAGAAAUUUCAAAGCUUUUUUCUCUGUUUUUUUUUUGCUUGACUGCCCCCCAUUUCUUCUCUUCCAUUUUUUCUUUUUAAAAGCUCCAAAUUUUGUCCUCUUUCUCAUUGUUUGCAGGUGGCAGAGGAGCCAUGAUGGCCUAGGGGGGCUGCUGGAGUAGCUCGGCUGGGAGGGGUACGCUCGGCUGCUGCAGCGGCGAUUAGACAAGUCCGGAAGGACUAAAUUGCAUAGGAUGCAAAGCUUCUGGGGCAAAAGUGUAAUUUUAGGAAAAUAUAGGGCUAAAGGGUAAUUUCUAGAAACUUUAGGGGUUAAAGUGAAAUUUUGAGAAAGUUUAAGGGUUGAAAUGUAAUUUUAGAAAAGUUUAGGGUUAAAAUGUAAAUUUUGAAAAGUAUAGGGGUCAAAAUGCAAUUUUUUUAAUUUUUUUUAACACGAAAUUAUUCCCGGACAAAAUUCAGUGAUUACAGAACAUUUCAUUUAUUAAUUUUUAGAAAAAAAUCUUUAUCUCAAGAAAUCAACAUGUCACAUCCAAGGCAUUAGGACACAG